GCAUAUCAAUAAGCGGAGGAAAAGAAACCAACAGGGAUUGCCCCAGUAACGGCGAGUGAAGCGGCAACAGCUCAAAUUUGAAAUCUGGCCCCUAGGGUCCGAGUUGUAAUUUGUAGAGGAUGCUUUUGGUGAGGUGCCGCCCGAGUUCCCUGGAACGGGACGCCGCAGAGGGUGAGAGCCCCGUCUGGCUGGCCACCGAGCCUCUGUAAAGCUCCUUCGACGAGUCGAGUAGUUUGGGAAUGCUGCUCAAAAUGGGAGGUAUAUGUCUUCUAAAGCUAAAUAUUGGCCAGAGACCGAUAGCGCACAAGUAGAGUGAUCGAAAGAUGAAAAGCACCUUGAAAAGAGGGUUAAACAGUACGUGAAAUUGUUGAAAGGGAAGCGCUUGUGACCAGACUUGGGCGCGGCGGAUCAUCCGGGGUUCUCCCCGGUGCACUUCGCCGUGUUCAGGCCAGCAUCAGUUCGGCGCGGGGGAAAAAGGCUUCGGGAACGUGGCUCCUCCGGGAGUGUUAUAGCCCGUUGCAUAAUACCCUGCGCUGGACUGAGGACCGCGCAUCUGCAAGGAUGCUGGCGUAAUGGUCACCAGCGACCCGUCUGGAAACACGGAAC
rnacentral:rRNA from 1 species